GCCAUUUGUUCUAUGCUUUGUGAGCUUUAUUGUCCCUGUAACUUUCAAGUCACAGCUGUCAACGGUGUUCAUGAGCUAAAAUAAUUUUGUUUAGGCAGCUGAGUCUCAAUACCUUAAUGGUUUAAAAAACUCAAAACCCCAAACCCCCCAACAAGUAGGACCAAAGGCCUAAAAAUAACACUGGAAGGAAAAUCCUGUAAGACAUCUAAGAAGGAGAGUAGCACUGGUCAUGUCAAGCUCCCCAACAGAAGGUCAAAGAGAAGAAACCAUUCCCUGUCCCACAUCACUGUACAAAAAAUAGAGCUUUGUAAAUGCUGAAUCAUCAACUCUUUCUGUAUCAGAGUCUAGAUAAUAACAAUCCCUGCUCAGUCAAGACUGGAAAACAUAGUGAAGGAGGAAGUCUAAUUGGUUUCAAGUGGCCUUUUCUACACAGAAACAGUAAGAAGAAAAUUAAUGCGGAGUACAAAUUUCUAUGAUCCAUGAUCAUCUACAACGGAUACAUUCAUCACCAACAGGCAACAGAGGUGGAUUUUAAACACACUUACAAUUGUUCAUUUGACAUUCCUCUUGGAUUUUCUCCAUACAACAGAAACACAC